rnacentral:misc_RNA from 1 species
AACCCUUGUGGAGGAGGACGCCGAAGGUGGGGCUAAUGACUGGGGUGAAGUCGUAACAAGGUAGCCGUACCGGAAGGUGCGGCUGGAUCACCUCCUAACAGGGAGACAACAAAAUGUUUAAUAUUAUUAUUUUGUCACCUUAGGUCGAUCGGUAUCUCACGUUCUUAAUUUAUUAAGAAUUUCAUUUCCUAAGUUUUUCUAGGUCACACCCAUUAUUUUCCUGGGCCAUUAGCUCAGGUGGUUAGAGCGCACCCCUGAUAAGGGUGAGGUCCCUGGUUCAAGUCCAGGAUGGCCCAUAUCUCUAUGUUGGGGGUAUAGCUCAGUUGGUAGAGCGCCUGCUUUGCAAGCAGGAUGUCAGCGGUUCGAGUCCGCUUACCUCCACUGAUUACCACCUCUUCCAUAAUUUGUAGAAGGGAAUAUUUUGAGUUGUGAUCAAAUUCUGAACGAAUCUAGCUUCCUAAUGAAAUCAUUAAGAUGCUGGACUCAUUGAAUUAAUUUCUUUGUUUUCAGAGAACCUUGACAACUGCAUAGAUUAUUUUUAAAGACAAUAAGCAUCUUUAAUGAUGCAGAUUUAUUAUUUGUGCGAAUGCAUUAAUAACAAUUCUAUUAAGCUGAUGCUUCAAUUUUGAAGUUAUUGGUCAAGCUACAAAGGGCUCACGGAGGAUACCUAGGCACACAGAGGCGA